GCAGCCUGGUGACCUAGAGGCCGGAGAAGGAGCACACGCGACACUAAUAUUCUUCUGCAAAAUGACUUGAUAAACUUGGGAAUUUGAUGAUAGCAAGCUGUCCAGUCCCUGAGGCAGCCCCAAACCAUGAUGCUCCCUCACCAUAUUUUACAGAAUAUUUUGCCAGUAGCGCUGUGGAGCAUCCAGGUGCACUUUUGCAAACUUCAGAUGUGCAGCAAUGUUUUUUUUGGGACAGCAGUGGCUUCUUCCGUGGUUACCUCCCAUGAACACCAUUCUUGUUUAGUGUUUUACGUAUCGUAGACUCGUCAACAGAGAUGUUAGAAUGUUCCAUAGAUUUCUGUAUGUCUUUAGCUGACACUCUAGGAUUCUUCUUAACCUCAUUGAGCUUUCUGCGCUGUGCUUUUGCAGUCAUCUUUGCAAGACAGACACUCCUAGGUAGAGUAGCAACAGUGCUUUCUCCAUAUAUAGACUUUCUCCAUAUAUAGACAAUUUGUCUUACAGUGGACUGAUGAACAUCAAGGCUUUUAGAGAUACUUUUAUAACCUUUUCCAGCUUUAUGCAAGUCAACAAUUCUUCAUCUUAGGUCUUCUGAGAUCUAUUUUGCUCAAGGCAUGGUCCACACCAGGCAAUGAUUCUUGUGAAUAGCAAAUGCAACAUUUUGUUUUUUUUAGGGCAAGGCAGCGCUAACCAACAUCUCCAGUCUCGUCUCAUUGAUUGGACUCCAGGUUAGCUGACUCCUGACUCCAAUUAGCUAUUGGAGAAGUCAUUAGCCUCGGGGUUCACAUAAUUUUCCCAACCUACACUGUGAAUGUUGAAAUGAUGUAUUCAAUAUAGACAAGCAAGUCAUACAAUGUCUGUCUAUUGUUGUGACUUAGAUGAUGAUCAGAUCAAAUUUGAUGACUAAUUUAUGCAGAAAUCCAAGUAACUCCAAAAGGUUCACAUACUUUUUCUUGCCACUGUAAUAUACAGUGUUAACGUUAAAGAUCACUAUGUUUGAUGUACAGUUACAAGAUGACAUGGCGUCAUUACACUGGGUUGUUCUGAACAGAAUGAGCCUAUGUUUGUGGUAUUGUGAAGAAUUUUGUUGGGGUACACAUCUGAAUGCACUCGUGACUAUUCUAUGGGAUCACCAAAAUGGUGAUCUGCUUCUCUGAAUUGCUUUGUGAAAGCCUACCAAUGUAACAAUGCAUUUUGUAACUUAGCCAGCCAUGUUGGCAAUAGAACACGCUUUCACAAAUGUGGCACACCUGACCAGAUUACAAUUAAUAAUGGACUGUUUUUGGAACAACAGUAAUUGUGCGAUGGCGGGGAUGGCAGGGAUGUGUUCCAGAGAAAACGACUACAAGUCUGCUAGCUCUAGUUCGUCGACGACACAGCUAGGAGUGCUCCAAAUAGCACAUUAUAGUUGACCUCUCACUCAAUCCCUUGUCAUUUUUUUGUUUGUUUUAUAUUGCACUUAGCCCAAAUUUCCCAUGAGUAUUUUGUUAUCGUGUUACUGAAUGUAUCCAGAUUAUUUUCAGAUUUCGUUACCAACAAAUGCAGUUAAGGUCAAAUGCAAAUAAAAUCAACAAUGUUUGG